rnacentral:rRNA from 1 species
UACGUAGGGGGCAAGCGUUGUCCGGAUUUAUUGGGCGUAAAGAGCUCGUAGGUGGUUCGGUAAGUCGGAUGUGAAAUCUCCAGGCUCAACCUGGAGGGGUCAUUCGAUACUGCCGUGACUAGAGUUCGGUAGGGGAGUGUGGAAUUCCUGGUGGAGCGGUGAAAUGCGCAGAUAUCAGGAGGAACACCCGUAGCGAAGGCGGCACUCUGGGCCGAUACUGACACUGAGGAGCGAAAAGCGUGGGGAGCGAACAGG